rnacentral:rRNA from 1 species
UUGGAUCCAGACUUUGAUUAUGGCUCAGGAUGAACGCUAGCUACAGGCUUAACACAUGCAAGUCGAGGGGAAACGACAUCGGAAGCUUGCUUUUGAUGGGCGUCGACCGGCGCACGGGUGAGUAACGCGUAUCCAACCUGCCCACCACUUGGGGAUAACCUUGCGAAAGUAAGACUAAUACCCAAUGACGUCUCUAGAAGACAUCUGAAAGAGAUUAAAGAUUUAUCGGUGAUGGAUGGGGAUGCGUCUGAUUAGCUUGUUGGCGGGGUAACGGCCCACCAAGGCAACGAUCAGUAGGGGUUCUGAGAGGAAGGUCCCCCACAUUGGAACUGAGACACGGUCCAAACUCCUACGGGAGGCAGCAGUGAGGAAUAUUGGUCAAUGGACGAGAGUCUGAACCAGCCAAGUAGCGUGCAGGAUGACGGCCCUAUGGGUUGUAAACUGCUUUUAUAAGGGAAUAAAGUGAGUCUCGUGAGACUUUUUGCAUGUACCUUAUGAAUAAGGACCGGCUAAUUCCGUGCCAGCAGCCGCGGUAAUACGGAAGGUCCGGGCGUUAUCCGGAUUUAUUGGGUUUAAAGGGAGCGUAGGCCGGAGAUUAAGCGUGUUGUGAAAUGUAGACGCUCAACGUCUGCACUGCAGCGCGAACUGGUUUCCUUGAGUACGCACAAAGUGGGCGGAAUUCGUGGUGUAGCGGUGAAAUGCUUAGAUAUCACGAAGAACUCCGAUUGCGAAGGCAGCUCACUGGAGCGCAACUGACGCUGAAGCUCGAAAGUGCGGGUAUCGAACAGGAUUAGAUACCCUGGUAGUCCGCACGGUAAACGAUGGAUGCCCGCUGUUGGUCUGAAUAGGUCAGCGGCCAAGCGAAAGCAUUAAGCAUCCCACCUGGGGAGUACGCCGGCAACGGUGCAACUCAAAGGAAUUGACGGA